rnacentral:rRNA from 1 species
GACGAACGCUGGCGGCGUGCUUAACACAUGCAAGUCGAACGGAAAGGCCCUGCUUUUGUGGGGUGCUCGAGUGGCGAACGUGUGAGUAACACGUGAGUACCCUGCCCUUGACUUUGGGAUAACUUCAGGAAACUGGGGCUAAUACCGGAUAGGCGCUCCUGCUGCAUGGUGGGGGUUGGAAUGUUUCGGCGGUUGGGGAUGGACUCGCGGCGUAUCAGCUUGUUGGUGGGGUAGUGGCUUACCAAGGCUUUGACGGGUAGCCGGCCUGAGAGGGUGACCGGCCACACUGGGACUGAGAGACGGCCCAGACGACUACGGGAGGCAGCAGUGGGGAAUAUUGCACAAUGGGCGGAAGCCUGAUGCAGCGACGCCGCGUGAGGGAUGACGGCCUUCGGGUUGUAAACCGCUUUCGAUAGGGACGAAGCGCAAGUGACGGUACCUAUAGAAGAAGCACCGGCCAACUACGUG